rnacentral:rRNA from 1 species
AUUGAACGCUGGCGGCAUGCCUUACACAUGCCAGUCGAACGGUAACAGGUUAAGCUGACGAGUGGCGAACGGGUGAGUAAUGUAUCGGAACGUGCCCAGUCGUGGUGGAUAACUGCUCGAAAGAGCAGCUAAUACCGCAUACGACCUGAGGGUGAAAGCGGGGGAUCGCAAGACCUCGCGCGAUUGGAGCGGCCGAUAUCAGAUUAGGUAGUUGGUGAGGUAAAGGCUCACCAAGCCGACGAUCUGUAGCUGGUCUGAGAGGACGACCAGCCACACUGGGACUGAGACACGGCCCAGACUCCUACGGGAGGCAGCAGUGGGGAAUUUUGGACAAUGGGCGCAAGCCUGAUCCAGCCAUGCCGCGUGCGGGAAGAAGGCCUUCGGGUUGUAAACCGCUUUUGUCAGGGAAGAAAAGGUUCUGGCUAAUACCUGGGACUCAUGACGGUACCUGAAGAAUAAGCACCGGCUAACUACGUG